AGCCAUCACCCUUUUGUGCCUUGCCCCAAGAGAAGAGAGGAAGAAAAAGGGAGAGAAGAGAGGGGAGAUGAGGGCAUACCGUCGCCCAUCAUCGUCGUUCCUCUCCAAGAAUUGGUUGGAUUUCCUUUCCUCUCUCUUUUCUCCACUUGAUGAAUGUUUUCCCUUGUUUUGGAUGAGUUUUAGGCCCUGCAAUUAACAUUUUUUGGUUGGAUUAGAUGGGGGAUUAGAUUUUGAUCUCGAAAUUAGUUUCUGUAGAAUGCCAGAUUCAACAGUUUCUGUUCAUGCCAGUUUUCCGUGGUCUUAGUGGCCUCAAAAAAAUAAAAAGUCUAUCUAUGAGUCGUAGAUAAUUUGUAGAUCUUUCCGUGGCUGCGAAGAACACCUCAAUUGGACAUCAGAUUAGAAAGUUAUUGCAGUUUAAUUAUAGCAGUUUUUUAGUCUCAUAAUUCUGUGCAGAAUCUGUUCUCUUAAGAUUUAGACAAUUUUAUCAACAGAAUUAAACUUUAGGAUUCUAAAAGAAGUUGUAUACAAUUUUAUAAGCUUUCCAGAUUGUUAAAGAGCGUAUUCAUAUGAAUUAUAAAACUCCAGUUAUGUUUGUUUUACUGUGGUUGUUCCUGUUUGUCUGAUAAAAAUGAGUGGGGUUGUUCACUGGUGGGUUGCAUAUAGUAAAUAGCAGAAUUGGCUGUUCCAACUAUGGAGACAUUUGUAGAUAGAUAAAAGUUCUUACUGCCAGCAGAAUUUCAUAAUUGUUUGUUGAGUAGUUUGAGAGAUAUUGAAUUUUGAAGUUAACUAUGUUGUUGUCUGAAACAGAUUCAGACAGUUAUCUUAUCAGAUGUUUUAGAACUUAUAGAUGGCAGAACUUAAUUAUCCAUUGAAUACCGAAGUUGUAGAGUAUUUUGUGUAGAUACUCCUACAAUAUUUGUUUGAUAUCACCACUGUUAUAAUUUUAAAGAUACAAAAUUAACAAACAGCGCUCCUGCUGUUUGGCAUGUGGUUCAGGGUGGGAGUCUUUCCAACGGGUCUUGGUUUCAAGUGUAGGAGCGAUUUGUUGAUUGUUGGCAAAUGUUUGUGAAAUAUUUGUACUAAGUUUUAUGCCCUCUAGCAGGUGGCUACACUCCGGAUCAUGCCUAGUACAUUUUUCUUCUUCGAUGAAGGCAAGUGAAUGUAGCGGUGGUUGCUACCGUUUUGACUUGUUGGUUUUUUUCGCCUACACUCUAAUAUUCAGAAUUAUGGAAUUCUUUCAUAAUUGAACUCUAUGGUGAUGCUUUACUUGCUUGUAUUAUACUGAUGUUCAAUCAUAUAUUGAUGAUGAUUAUGGUUCAAGUAUGACCCAUGAGAUUAAUUUACACCCAUGAAGGCAGAUAAAGUAUUAUUUGAGAUUUCUAUUGUAUCUGAAGGCAGAUGAAGUAUUAUUUGAGGUUUGUUUUGUAUCCGAAGGAAGUGAAGUAUAUUGAUAAAUGCAGCAUGGCAUAUGCAUUACAUGAUUCAUUUGUGUCUAAAGUUUGGUCGUGACCUAUGGUCCGACCGUACCGGUGCAACUUAGCAUCGUACGUUGCCCGAGGAGGGGUACGAUGCGGCUUCAUACCCUUAGAGGUAUGAAGGCAGAGGACAUAUGCAUUGCAUUCAUAUGCAUUCAUUGAAGUGAUAUUAGCAAAUGAUGUGGUUUUAUACUCUCAGAGGUAUGAGGGCAGAGGACCUACACAUUUCAUUCCUAUGCAUACAUUGAAGUGAUAUCUGCAGGUAUUGUUGAAGCAAGGAAGGGUUAUACAACCUAUUAUGGUUGUUCGAGGAAAUGAGAUGGUAUUAGUUAUAUUGGGACUAUUGAGUUCUAUAUCUACAAGUAUUUCUGAUCUCAAUUGUGAUUCCUUUAAAAUGUUGUUUAAUUCAAUUUGUGGUUUAAAUAUCUCAUCAAAACAAUUUGCUUGCUGAGAUGUAUCAUCUCACUCUUGCAUUACUCAAUGCAGGUACUUGAUUCAUGUUGGGAAUGAGUGAAGUAGCAGCACGUCCACCUUCACAAUUAUAAUAACACUGCCUAGUUGCAGCCAUGAUUUAAUUAGAAACUUGAUGUCAAAUGAUGUUUGUUUUUUUCUAGUCGUGUGCACUGGUUAAUUC
rnacentral:lncRNA from 1 species